CAAGGAAUUUUCCCCAAUGGGCGCAAGCCUGAGGGAGCAACGCCGCGUGCAGGACGACGGCCUUCGGGUUGUAAACUGCUUUUGCGUGGGACGAUAACGACGGUACCACGCGAAUCAGCCCCGGCUAACUCUGUGCCAGCAGCCGCGGUAAUACAGAGGGGGCAAGCGUUGUCCGGACUUACUGGGCGUAAAGCGCACGCAGGUGGUAACGCAAGUGGGGUGUGAAAGCCGCCAGCUCAACUGGCGGAGGCCAUCCCAAACUGCGUCACUUGAGGCCUGUAGAGGUAUGUGGAAUUGCCGGUGUAGUGGUGAAAUGCAUAGAUACCAUAAGGAACCCCGAUAGCGAAGGCAGCUUACUAGGCUAUAACUGACGCUGAGGCACGAAAGCGUGGGGAGCGAACAGGAUUAGAUACCCCGGUAGUCC
rnacentral:rRNA from 1 species